GCCCGGGUUUUGUGUGUGCCGCG
rnacentral:miRNA from 15 species